CUUGCUAUUUUGCUGACGAGUGGCGCACGGGUGAGUAAACUAUAGUUAAUGUACCCCAAAGACUGGGAUAGCCACUGGAAACGGUGAUUAAUACUAGAUACACCUUCUUAUCAUAAGGUAAGAAGGGAAAUGUCUUUUCGCUUUGGGAUCAGACUAUAUCCUAUCAGCUAGUUGGUGAGGUAAUGGCUCACCAAGGCAAUGACGGGUAGCGGUUCUGAGAGGAUGAUCCGCCACACUGGUACUGAGACACGGACCAGACUCCUACGGGAGGCAGCAGUGAGGAAUAUUGCACAAUGGGGGGAACCCUGAUGCAGCAACGCCGCGUGGAGGAUGACGCAUUUCGGUGUGUAAACUCCUUUUAUAUGUCAAGAAAAUGACGGUAGCAUAUGAAUAAGCACCGGCUAACUCCGUGCCAGCA
rnacentral:rRNA from 1 species